ensembl:lncRNA
UGCAAGGGCAAGGAAGAGGGAGGAAGAGACCUGAUUCCUUUUGACUGGGAAUUUUUCACUAUACUGAGCAGCACAGUAUGUACUGGUACCUGGGCUUUUGGUGCAUGCACUUCAGCAGCAGAAUGUGCCAUACAUAUUUCUGCAGCUUCUUUGACUUUCAUCAACAUGACUCAGCUCCAUGUUUCCUGACUGUUCUUAGGAACCUGUUCCAGCCAGUGAAGAAGGAGUCUCUUCCUCCCAAAGUGAAGGCAAAGGAAUUACAUCUAAUAAAAAUGGUCAGAGGAGGAAUUUUUUUU